GGCCAUACCACGUAGAAAAACCCGGUCUCGUCAGCUCCCGGCCGUUAAGCUGCGUCGGGUCCCGUUAGUACUUAGGAGGGUGACCACUUGGGAAUACGGGAUGCUGUUGGCA
rnacentral:rRNA from 1 species